GCACCACGAGGCGCUGUCU
rnacentral:sRNA from 1 species